GUACACCCAAGUAAAUGUGAGAUGACAGCUGCGUAUAAGCUCCAUGGACGUGAGAAAAGGGGGAGCAGUGGAGGUGGGCUUUAGAGCUAUGCCACCUUGAGAAACGCAUUUCUGGCCAAGAGGAAAGAUCACAAAGGCCUGGGAGAAGGAAUCGUCUUAGAAGAAACCCUCCAGCUCCUACCUGUUACCUUGUGCAGAUAGAAAGGUCCUCAGGAGUCCAUCAGGGGGACAGAUGAAGACUGCUCGGCAGGAAGCUGGUGGAAACUUCUAAGGUGGACACAUGCAGGUGGAGGAGCCACAGAGGAAGAAGAGACCUUGCGUAAGGCGAAACUGGAAAUGUAAAAUGGGUGAAAGAAGUGGAGUGUGCUUUUCCAGCAAAGGCCAUUUAUCCAUUCCAAGAGGGAGUUAAGAGUGGCAGUUAGGGGAUAAGACCAGGACCAGCUAUGAUGGUUUGGAGGAAAAGUAUAAGCUGGCAGUGUAGACAAGGGCAGGGCAUGUAUGGAGAGGUGAAAACGAAGAAUAGGAGUAUGACUAGACAGAAGAGAGCAGGGAUGAAAAGUUUUUGGGAUGCAGUCUAAGUAGUGGGGGUGACUGCAUAAGGCCCUGUUGCAAAGACUCUGGUAAGGAAGGAUAGACCUAACAAAAUGAAGGGAUGUAUUAGGCUCAUAAGGGUUACUACUGUUCUUCAGAAAUGUGGGUGAGUUUAAGGGAAGUAGGGGUGAGUACUCGCGACUUCCAGAAGGAAGAGGAGAGAUCAGGCUGGCUGUCCAAUGGACACGGCUUUAUUCUGGAACGGUGAACCCAAUGGGGAGGGUCCUGCAGGAGGACGGCAGUUAGGGUAUUAUAGAUGACUAAGUAGGGUCCGGUCCGUCGAGGUUGUAGAGUUUGAGGGGUCAGAUUCUUAACAAGAACUGAUCGUCCAGAUAGGGUGUCUUCAUAAGGCUGGG
rnacentral:lncRNA from 1 species